AUUGAACGCUGGCGGCAUGCUUUACACAUGCAAGUCGAACGGCAGCGCGGGCAACCUGGCGGCGAGUGGCGAACGGGUGAGUAAUAUAUCGGAACGUACCCAGAAGUGGGGGAUAACGUAGCGAAAGUUACGCUAAUACCGCAUACGAUCUACGGAUGAAAGUGGGGGACCUUCGGGCCUCAUGCUUUUGGAGCGGCCGAUAUCUGAUUAGCUAGUUGGGGGGGUAAAGGCCUACCAAGGCGACGAUCAGUAGCUGGUCUGAGAGGACGACCAGCCACACUGGGACUGAGACACGGCCCAGACUCCUACGGGAGGCAGCAGUGGGGAAUUUUGGACAAUGGGCGCAAGCCUGAUCCAGCAAUGCCGCGUGUGUGAAGAAGGCCUUCGGGUUGUAAAGCUCUUUUGUCAGGGAAGAAACGGCUCGGGCUAAUAUCCUGGGCUAAUGACGGUACCUGAAGAAUAAGCACCGGCUAACUACGUGCCAGCCGCCGCGGUAA
rnacentral:rRNA from 1 species